CUGAUUUGGAAGAGUCAGAGAAAGGAGCCAUCUGUGAAUUAAACAUGCCGACUCUGUGUCUUUAUUAUGGUAGGUGUUAAACAUGCAAAAUGCAGGAGAUUCAGUCCCUGCAGUCAUACUGGAGAGGGAAAGGAAAGGAGAUAUGUUCCUAACUAAAGAUUAAAUGGGUCAAGAACACAAGUAUAGAGAGAGGUGACAAAGUGAGACCUCAUCUCUAAAAAAAAUAAAAAUAAUUAAAAAUAAUAAUUAAAAAAGAAAAAGAAAAUGAAAAAAAAGCUAUACCAGUUCCCUUAAUAAUGGGCAAAGCAUAUCGAUUACCUUGUAUACGUAUUUCUAUUUCCCUGUAACUUUUGUACCUAGGAAAAUGUUAGCUUUAUGUAUUAAAUACAACCUUACCCAAAUAAACCAACUUUUGUUUCCUGUCAGACACAGAGAAAACCAAAAGUCAUGUAACCAAAACUAUCUUUUUUUUUUUGAGAUGGAGUCUCGCNNNNNNNNNNGUCCCAGCUACUUGGGAGGCUGAGGUGGGAAAAUCACCUGAGAUGGGGAAGGUCGGCUGCAGUGAGCCAUGAUCAUGCCACUGCAUUCCAGCCUGAGCAACAGAGUGAGACCCUGUCUCAAACAAAAAAACAAAAAAAAAAAGAUUGAAACAGUAAAUAACAGUAUGUAAAUUUCCAACCAUUAUUAAUAUUAAAUGUGAAACUUGCUUUUUUAUAAUGUUUUAAUUUACUAUAACUCUAAGGAAUUAAAUAAAUUUUUAGGUAUUAACUGCAAAGGUUGAAAAUUCAGUUCCAUGUUCCUGAGAGUCAUCAAUCAGGUGCUUUAAAUAGACUGCUUCACAUUUUGUAACGUUAACUCACAACUCUUUCAAAAUUUAUGAAUUCUAUUUUCUUUUACUCUAAACCACUUUUUCUUCGUUCAUUGUUUCGUCCCAUCAAAACUUACCCUAAUGAAAAUCAUUUACUUUUAAGAGAGACCUAAACAGGACUUUCAUGUUAAUUGGUAUGUACUAUAGUCUGCUUUCAGAUGCACAAUCUUCUAUAGCAAAACUUAAUCUCUGCCUGACUGCUGAAGAUUUCUGAAAAUGCCGCAUUCACAUAUGCACACACCACCACCCUCAUCAACAUUACCACCUCCACCAGUUGUUGUAUGUAUCUGGCCUAUAUACUAAUAUCUGUUUGCUAAACAGAAAUUAAUCACAAAGUAAAUCUAACAAAAUGUAUUCCAUACUGUAGAAUUAUUUCUGGAUUACUCACUAUGUUAGCUGUAUUAAUACAUCAUCUUU
rnacentral:lncRNA from 1 species